rnacentral:rRNA from 1 species
GACGAACGCUGGCGGCGUGCUUAACACAUGCAAGUCGAACGGAAAGGCCCUGCUUUUGUGGGGUGCUCGAGUGGCGAACGGGUGAGUAACACGUGAGUAACCUGCCCUUGACUUUGGGAUAACUUCAGGAAACUGGGGCUAAUACCGGAUAGGAGCUCCUGCUGCAUGGGGGGGGUUGGAAAGUUUCGGCGGUUGGGGAUGGACUCGCGGCUUAUCAGCUUGUUGGUGGGGUAGUGGCUUACCAAGGCUUUGACGGGUAGCCGGCCUGAGAGGGUGGCCGGCCACAUUGGGACUGAGAUACGGACCAGACUCCUACGGGAGGCAGCAGUGGGGAAUAUUGCACAAUGGGCGGAAGCCUGAUGCAGCAACGCCGCGUGCGGGAUGACGGCCUUCGGGUUGUAAACCGCUUUCGCCUGUGACGAAGCGUGAGUGACGGUAAUGGGUAAAGAAGCACCGGCUAACUACGUG